rnacentral:rRNA from 1 species
AUUGAACGCUGGCGGCAUGCCUUACACAUGCAAGUCGAACGGCAGCGCGGACUUCGGUCUGGCGGCGAGUGGCGAACGGGUGAGUAAUACAUCGGAACGUACCCUGUUGUGGGGGAUAACUAGUCGAAAGAUUAGCUAAUACCGCAUACGACCUGAGGGUGAAAGUGGGGGACCGGAAACGGCCUCAUGCAGCCGGAGCGGCCGAUGUCUGAUUAGCUAGUUGGUGGGGUAAAGGCCCACCAAGGCGACGAUCAGUAGCUGGUCUGAGAGGACGAUCAGCCACACUGGGACUGAGACACGGCCCAGACUCCUACGGGAGGCAGCAGUGGGGAAUUUUGGACAAUGGGGGCAACCCUGAUCCAGCAAUGCCGCGUGUGUGAAGAAGGCCUUCGGGUUGUAAAGCACUUUUGUCCGGAAAGAAAUCGAGCUGGUUAAUACCUGGCGUGGAUGACGGUACCGGAAGAAUAAGCACCGGCUAACUACGUG